rnacentral:ncRNA from 2 species
GAAAGCAUGCAGGGGUACCGCCCCGGCGAAGCGAGCCGAAAGCCUAUGGCAGCCUCGUCGAUGCGGUUGAGAGGGCACUGCCCAACCCUUCGAACCUGUCAGCUAACACUGUCGUAGGGAGCAUGCUCACCAAGCAC